UACGAAGGGGGCUAGCGUUGCUCGGAAUCACUGGGCGUAAAGCGCACGGUAGGCGGCUUUUUAAGUCAGGGGUGAAAUCCUGGAGCUCAAACGUCCAGAACUCGCCUUUGAUACUGAGAGCUUGAGUCCGGGAGAGGUGAGUGGAACUGCGAGUGUAGAGGUGAAAUUCGUAGAUAUUCGCAAAGAACACCAGUGGCGAAGGCGGCUCACUGGCCCGGUACUGACGCUGA
rnacentral:rRNA from 1 species